rnacentral:rRNA from 1 species
UACAGAGGGGGCAAGCGUUGUUCGGAAUUACUGGGCGUAAAGGGCGCGUAGGCGGCCUUCUAAGUUGAACGUGAAAUCCCCGGGCUCAACCCGGGAACUGCGUCCAAGACUGGGAGGCUAGAAUCCGGGAGAGGGAUGUGGAAUUCCAGGUGUAGCGGUGAAAUGCGUAGAUAUCUGGAGGAACAUCGGUGGCGAAGGCGGCAUCCUGGACCGGUAUUGACGCUGAGGCGCGAAAGCCAGGGGAGCAAACGGG